rnacentral:ncRNA from 1 species
UGCUGGGUUGAGGAGCGGAGCCAGCCCGACGAGACGCGCCGUACCGGGUGAGAGACGUAAAGACGACGCACC